rnacentral:rRNA from 1 species
AUUGAACGCUGGCGGCAUGCCUUACACAUGCAAGUCGAACGGCAGCAUGGGUGCUUGCACCUGAUGGCGAGUGGCGAACGGGUGAGUAAUGCAUCGGAACGUACCCGGAAGUGGGGGAUAACGUAGCGAAAGUUACGCUAAUACCGCAUAUUCUGUGAGCAGGAAAGCGGGGGAUCGCAAGACCUCGCGCUUCCGGAGCGGCCGAUGUCGGAUUAGCUAGUUGGCGGGGUAAAGGCCCACCAAGGCAACGAUCCGUAGCGGGUCUGAGAGGAUGAUCCGCCACACUGGGACUGAGACACGGCCCAGACUCCUACGGGAGGCAGCAGUGGGGAAUUUUGGACAAUGGGGGCAACCCUGAUCCAGCCAUGCC